GGAGAUAAAGUGACGCGCGGGUGUCCUGGGAGCUUGGAGGCUUGAGCUCUGGAGCUGGAUUUAGGCAGCCGUUUAAUGUCGUGCAUUAACUCACUGAACUGAGGCUCCAUCCUUCAAUAGCACUUAUCUACCCAACAACCGGGCUGGGGGAGCAGUAGUGUCUCCAUGGCAUAAAUGAAGAAACUGUGACUCAGAGAGGCUGAGUAAACUGCUUGAUGCCAUACAACUACAUACAGUGAUGAAUGUGAGAUUCAGACUUGGAUUUGUCUGGCUCCAAAAUCUCUGUUCCUUACGUGACAAUAAAGGAGAAGAGUGAGAGAUGGUACGUCUAGAUGGCCAGGUGAAAACCGAGCACUGCCGAGCAAGCCCCAAGGAAAAGUGCAGCCUCCACACGAAGUUUUAUUAUUGGCUUCUGAGGAAGUGAUUUUUAAUUAUAAAAUUAAUACCUGGGACUUCCCUGGUGGCGCAGUGGUUAAGAAUCCGCCUGCCAAUGCAGGGACACAGGUGUGAGCCCUGGUCCGGGAAGAUCCCACGUGCCACGGAGCAACUAAGCCCGCGUGCCACAACUACUGAAGCCCACACACUCCCAGAGCCUGUGCUCCUCAACAAGAGAAGCCACCGCAAUCAGAAGCCCGCGCACCGCAACGAAGAGUAGCCCCCGCUCGCUGCAACUAGAGGAAGCCCACGUGCAGCAACGAAGACCCAACACAGCCAAAAAUAAAUUAAAAAAUUAAAAAAAGUAAAAUUAAUACCUGUUCAUUCUAACAGUUGAUGCAAUAUUAAACGUAUAAUAAAAUAGGUAAUAACUAGUCCUUGA